AGCCGAGCUGAGGUUGGCAAGGCAGCUCCUGGGCUUCCCCAGUCCCAGAGGCUGGGGCGGGAGCCUGGGUGGCCCGGCCUCCACCUCCGAGUCUGGGUGCCCGGCCAUGGGCAGGUGGGACGGGGCCUGGAGCCGGUCCAGGACGGAGCUAAUGAUCAACCAGCCCUCGGAGGCGGUGCAGCAGCGUGGGGCCUGCCUCCCGCCAGCGGCCCGGGCGCAGGGAGGAAGUGGGGCAGGAAGCGGGGCGGGGGCGGCUGCGGUGCCGUCAGCGGGCUGUGGGCGGCCGCUGCCCCUGGCCGGCGGAGACCAGGGUCAGAAACAGCCACCUGGUGCCCGGGGUCCUGCAGCUGGUGGCCCGGGGGCGGCCUGAGGAGCUGAGCACAGGGGCCAGUCCGGCAUGUCCCGCCCCCGGCGCUGAGGCCACUGCGGGUCAUGGAGGGCCCGGUGGAGGUGGCCCCUGAGGAGCCGGCCCCGACAGGGAGGGGGCCCAUGGGGUCUUCUGGAGGCAGCGGCGGUGGCGAGGUCCGGAGAGUGGCCGUGAGCUCCUCGGUCGUCUGGGAGAAAGCAGGUCCGGAGGAGGCCGAGGCCGCCGUCGGAGAGGAUGCAGCUCCCAGCCCUGGUGCCUCUCAGCCGGCUGCCGGACCCUCUCCUGGCCAGAUGGGAUCGUACCCCACAGACCUGACCCUGCAGCUGCUGGCCGUGCGCAGGAAGAGCGGACUCCCGGACCCCGGCCUGCAGCGGGCCCUGCGGGGCCGGCUCCGCCUGCUGGAGAACGACAGCUGGGAGGUGGCCCGCGCCCUGGGGGAGCUGUCCGCCAGGCUGCUGUCCAUCCACAGCGACCAGGAUCGGAUCGUGGUGACGUUUAAGACUUUUGAAGAAAUCUGGAAGUUUUCCACCUACCAUGCUCUUGGCUUCACGCCUCACUGCCUGGAGAACCUGCUCGUGGACCAGACCUUCUGGCUGCUGGCACCGGACGAGGACGAGGAGACAGCCAUCCAAGUCCACGUGGACGAGGAGGCCUUGAGGCUGACGCACGAGAGCCUGCUCGUGCAGGAAGGGCCCUUCUUUGUCCUGUGUGCUGACCACCACGUGAGAGUGGCCACUGGCCCCCAGCCCCCCAGGCGGGCUGCAGCGGGUCCCCAUGCUGAGGCAGCCCAGACAGUGGACUCAUCGGCCCCCCGCCCGGGCACAUCCUCGGAGGAGGGGGCAGCAGUGGCCACUCCUGAGCCUUUGAUUCCGUUCCAUCAGUGGGCCCUUCGGGUGCCCUGGGACCCCAUCAAUGACUCCACGGGUGGACCUGUGACGCCGGACAUCCAGCCGAUGGCCGUGGGCAUGGCCUCGGCCGUGGCAGACUGCCAGGGCUCCGCGCCCGAAGAGAUGACCUUCCAGGGUGGCGACCACAUCGAGAUCCUGGGUGCCCAGGUGCCCGGGCUGCCGUGGUGUGUGGGCCGGCACGCGGCCUCCGGCCAGGUCGGGUUUGUGCGGACAAGUCUCAUCCGUGUGCAGGGCCAAGCGUCUGACUUGGAAAAUGUGAUUUUUCUUGAUGAAGAGGAGAGGUCUUUCUUCAGCAGUGAAGGACGUUUUUCAGAGGAGGACGCCAGGCAGCUCCUGAGCAGGGUGUCGGGCAAGGACGUCUGUGCUGUGUACAGCUUGGACACAGCAGAAGAUGCUGAGCUCGAGCAGCAGGAAGAACUCCAAACGUCCACACCCUGCCUGCACCCAGAGCCGCCUGAGACUCUGCAGAGGGUGAAGAAUGUUCUAGAACAAUGCAAGUCCUGCCAGGGCCUCCCCGAGGAGCCAGGGUCCUGGGGCGUCCAUAGAGCAUCCAGUGGUUCGAGCUCGCCGGACACCGAGGAGCCCUCCUUCCUCCUGGACGCCGGGGACACCUGGGCCGACCCGGAGGCCCUGGGCUCGCUGCUGCAGUUCCUGGACGCGCCCGGGUUCGAGGCCCGCUUCCGUGGCCUGUACAGCCUCUCCCUGCCACGACUGAGCAGAGUGUUCUGUGGCUUCACUGAUGAGGAGGAGCUGGCCGGGCGCCUGGCCCAGGCCCGGGGGGCGGCCAAGAAGGCCGAGCUGCCCAUGGCACUCGCCAGGCUCUGCUUCCUCCUGGGACGGCUGUGCGUGCGGCGGCUGAAGCUGUCCCAGGCCCGGGUGUACUUCGAGGAAGCCCUGGGGGCGCUGGGGGGCCGCUUCGGUGACCUCUUCCUGGCGGUGGCCUUGUACACCAACCUGGCCUCUGUCCACCUGCGGCAGAAGAACCGGGAGAAGUGUGAGCAGCUGGUGCCCAAGGCCUUGGCCCUGCUGCUGGGGACGCCUGGCCACGUUGGCACCGAGGCCGAGGCGGGACUCCUGAGGCUGGCCCUGCGGCGGGCCAUCUGCGGCCACAGCCUGCAGGCCGAGGCCCGGGCCUGCUUCCUGCUGGCCAAGCACCACACCCGCCUCAAGCAGCCCGAGGAGGCCCUGCCCUUCCUGGAGCGGCUGCUGCUGCUGCUGGGGACCUCGGCAUCCCUGCGCGCCUCGUGGCCCAUGAACUGCUACCUGCUCCUGGCAGACGCCUACAGCCGCAAGUGCCUGCCGCACCUGGCGCUGGGCUGCGUCAAGGUGGCCUCGCUGCGGGCACAGGGCUCGCUGGGCAGUGCCCUCUGGAGCGCGGCCCUGGUCCUGCAGAACUGCCCCCGGCUCCACCGCCUCCCCUCCCAGCUCGCCCACUACCUCAGGCAGGCGCUGGCCUCCCCGGCCUCGGCCCCAGAGCGGACGCUGCACGGCCCCCUCUAUGCCAGCCUGGCCCGGCUGCACAGCCAGCACGGCCAGCACGGCAGGGCCAUCGCCCUCAUGACACGGGCCGCGGAAACGGAUGCCCAGACUGGCGGCCGCCGGGUCGUGGACCACCUGGUAGCCCUCGCCUGGCUGCACGUGCUUCACAGGCAAAGCCCGCUGGCCCUGGCCAUCCUGGAGUCCAUCCUGGAGGCGGCGGCGGCCACCCUGGACCAGGAGGGGGUGAUUGCCAACAUGACAGCCAUCGCCCUGAAGAGGACAGGCCGGACCCGGCGGGCGGCCGAGGGCUACUACCACGCCCUGCGUGUCGCCAGGCGCCUGGGCCACGCGCGGAACCAGGCCGUGGUCCUGGCCAACUUCGGGGCCCUGUGCCUGCAGGCGGGCGCCAGUGGACUGGCUCAGCACUACUUCCUGGAGUCUGUGAAGCUCUUCUCGCGGCUGCCCAGCGGCGAGUGCGGCCCCGACUUCACGCAGGUGCUCCUGCGGCUGGGCCAGCUGUGCACGCGCAGGGCCCUGGCGCGGCAGGGCAAGUGCUACUACGAGUGGGCCUUUCUGGUGGCCGUGGAGGGGGACCAUCUCGAGAGCCAGCUGCAGGCCGUCCAGCGGCUGUGUCACUUCUACAGCACAGUCAUGCCCAGCGAGGCCCAGUGUGUCGUCUACCAUGAGUUCCAGCUCUCGCUGGCCCGCAGGGUGGCCGACAAGGCCCUGGAGGGGCAGCUCCUGGAGACCAUCAGCCAGCUCUACCUGUCCCUGGGCACCGAGCGGGCCUACAAGUCGGCGCUGGACUAUACCAAGCGCAGCCUGGGGGUGUUCAUUGAUCUCCAGCAGAAGGACAAGGAGGCGCAGGCCUGGCUGCAGGCGGGGAAGAUCUACUACAUCCUGCAGCAGAACGAGCUGGUGGACCUGUAUAUCCAGGUGGCACAGAACGCAGCCCUGUACACCGGGGACCCCAGCCUGGGGCUGCAGCUCUUUGAGGCGGCUGGCGACAUCUUCUUCAACGGGACCUGGGAACGUGAGAAAGCCGUGUCCUUCUACCGGGACCGGGCGCUGCCCCUGGCCACGACCACAGGGAACCAGGAGGCGGAGCUGCGGCUGUGCAACAAGCUGGUGGCACUGCUGGCAGAGAUGGAGGUGCCUCAGGAGGGCCUGGAGUUCGCCCACACGGCCCUGGCGCUCAGCAUCACCCUGGGGGACCGACUGAACGAGCGAGUGGCCUACCACCGGCUGGCCGCCCUGCACCACCGGCUGGGCCAAGGCGAGCUGGCCGAGCACUUCUACCUCAAGGCGCUCUCGCUCUGCUCCUCGCCGCUGGAGUUUGACGACGAGACGCUGUACUACGUGAAGGUGUACCUGGCGCUGGGCGACAUCAUUUUCUAUGACCUCAAGGUGGCGCUGUGGGCACGGCCCGGGUGGGGGUGGCUCCAGCCCCGCGGUCUCCCGAAGCUCUGGCCCUGGGAGGAGCAGGCGACGCGGUGGACCCGGCUGAGCCCGCACGCCGGGUCCGCGGGGGAGGCUGACAUGCGAAUAGAUGUUGGCAGCCUUUGGGUGAAGGACUAACUGGAGAGUAGUCUGCAGGGCGCCCUGGAGGAGGUGCCUGCAAAGCUACGUCUAGACAGUCGAGCAGGAGUGACCCACGUGGGAGGGGGCUAAAGAGACGCCUCGGGCAGGGAAAGGGUGGUCACUGUUCUUGGAGGCCCACGUUGCAAGGUGCAACCCGAACUCUGGCACCUCCUCCAGGAAGCCCGCCAGUCUUCCAGACAGGAAGCCUCAUGACACCUGGAUGGAGACGGGUCUGGCUCAUCUCAUGUCACAGAGAGGGAAACUGGGAUCCCGGAUGGGGUGUGACCUGCCUGGCGUUUAUCGCAGGGACGUCACUCAAGCCCCUGGCUGGGCCCCCAGCUGUCGGAGUCUCGGGGGUGGGAGCUGGGGCCUCUUUUCCUUCCAUCUCUGGGCCCCGCAGUGGACGCCCUCAAGGGCUGAGGCUCCCUCCUCUUCCUCACCCCCCUUCCCCCGGCCCCAGGCAGAUGCCCCAUCACCCCCACUCCAGGUCUGGCAUUGCACCUGCACAGCAUCCUGCUUUGUGUCAGUUGAGGAAUGAGGGUGCCCCAGCCCAGGGACUGAGUUCUCCACCCCCGCCCACAGAUGGCAUCCAGGAGCUGGGGCGCCGGGGGAAGACCCCCCCACACUCCAUCACUGGCCUGGCUGCUCCCUGGCGACAGUUGGUCAUAAUUAGUCAGUGCAGCCUUCUGUGAAGUCUCAGCAAGGCAGUGCUGGGGGGGGGGGUCCCAUGGGCAUUGGUGACCCCCACAGCUGAGCCCCAGACCCUGUGCUGUCCAAGCUCUGUGCUUUCCAGGCUCUGUUCUGUGCAGGUCCCAUGCUGCCCAGGCUCGGUACGGUUGAGGCUCUGUGUGUCCAGGAUUUGUGUGGUUGGCUCUUUAAAUGCUUUGAAGAGCUGGUGCCCGCACAGCACAGAGCUGGGGGGGCGGGGACUGAGGUCAGGCAUGGUCGGCCCAUUGGGGUAGGAUUGGGAGCAGUGCGGGGAGGUGGGGGUGGGCUUCAGUCCUGGGACCUUGUGGGCAUAGGACUGAGACCCCGACCCUGUGCCUCUGGAGCCCUGCCACCCUGCUCACUCCCCGAAUCUGUGCCCCCCUCUCCCUGCACGGGGCUGGGAGCCUGGGUGUGAAGCAGGGCUGGGCUGACCUUGCCUGAGCUCUCUAUGCCCAGAGCCCUCUGCCCGGGUCGUCUGAGGCUGGGGCCACACCGACACGACCGCAGCUGGUCAGUGAGCUGCGUGAGCUUCUUCAGCUCAAAACAAGAAGGGGAAACUUGAGGCUGAGGAUGUGGGCAUACUCGCCCAAGAUGGGGGUGGGGUGGGGUUGGGGCAGAGCCUGGGGUCAGCUCCAGGCCCAGGUGUCUGAUCAAGGCCAGACCGAAUGCUCCCUCACCCCUGACCCUGGCACGGGCGCCAGUCUCGCCUCCUGUCACCCCUGGAGUGGAAGGAAAGGGCAGGGCUACAGCUGAGACAAAGUUCCCUUGGCCGGGCAGGCGCCUGGGGUCAAAGGGGCAGAGAACUCCGCUUCCUUCCCAAAGGCCUCCCGGGCCUUUCCUGCCCUCAGCCUCGCCAUGACCUUGACCGUGACCGCUCUGCCUUCACCUCGCAGGCGCCUUGCAACUCCCCGACCUCACACCCUCCUCCCCGUGGCCAGGAGGGAGAGGGGUCCCCUCGGGCCCUGCGUGCAGUGCAGACUCCCCUGCGUGGAACCAGGGAUGGGAGGAGAAAGAGGGCCAGACAGGACCCUAGGGGACUCGCUCCAUCCUUGACGGGUGUCUCUGAAACUGGGCCGUCUUCAGCCUGUGCCUGGACCCGCUGGACGCGGCCGGGUACUACCAGCUGGCCCUGGCGGCAGCCGUGGACCUGGGCAACAAGAAGGCACAGAUGAAGAUCUAUACGCGCCUGGCCGCCAUCUACCACAACUUCCUCCUGGACCGCGAGAAG